GAGAGCUCAGUUGGUAGAGCACCGGUCUUUUAAACCGGUGGUCCCGGGUUCGACCCCCGGACGGCUCACUA
rnacentral:tRNA from 1 species